GACGAACGCUGGCGGCGUGCUUAACACAUGCAAGUCGAACGGAAAGGCCUGCUUUCCCUUGUGGUUUGCGGGUACUCUAGUGGCGAACGGGUGAGUAACACGUGAUUUAUCUGCCCCCAACUUGGGUAUAAGCCUGGGAAACUGUGUCUAAUUCCCGAUAGGACUGCAGGGUGGUGCCUGUGGUGGAAAACGAUUUUCUAGUGUUUGGGGAUGAGCUCGCGGCCUAUCAGCUUGUUGGUGGGGUAAUGGCCUACCAAGGCGGCGACGGGUAGCCGGACUGAGGGGGGGGACGGCGAAAUUGGGACAGAGACACGGCCCAGACGCGUACGGGAGGCAGCAGUGGGGAAUAUUGGAGAAUGAGCGGAAGCCUGAUGCAGCGAGGGCGCGUGGGGGAUGACGGGGUUCGGGUGGUAAACUCCUUGCGACGGAGAGGAAGACACCUGGAUGGAAGGGUGGUGACGGUAGUGGUAGAAGAAGCACCGGCUAACUACGUG
rnacentral:rRNA from 1 species